AGUACUCUAUUUGAAAUUUUAAUGUUUUCUACAAAUGUAACAAACAUUUAUUUGCAUACUUGAACAAGCAACACUAACAAAUUAACAAAGGAAAUUAAGACAAUGUUUUGAUUUAAAUUAGAAAACUUUUUGGACAAUUGUUGGCCUUAAGAUAGUGUUGUAGACAUUGCUGUCGUGCUGCCGCGCUGUUCUAAGGAUAUUUUAGCUAGGCACGUUAAAUAGUGUAACAAGGAGGCGUAACGUUGCUGUGCUCUCGUUGGUGGAGGGUGAAAAGCUAGCAAGUUUGUUUCAAGGACGGACGUAGCCGCCCUGUUAGUGCUUAUGUCUGGCCCUACAUGAUUACCUGGCGUGUGCCAGAAACAACCAAUGGAGCAAUUAACUGAAACACAGAAAUCCUUUCAUUGUUUUCAAAAAAAAUUCUAUAAUUUUUCGAAUUGAAAAAUAGUUCAGAGUUCGAAGCAUUUAUCAAUAAAGGCGUGACAAUAUGGGGCAGGACGAAAUUGUAAAGAGAAAUACAAAGAAGUAUGCUAAACAUAAUUUUGGCAACUUUAAUUUGUAGGAUAGUCAAACAACAAACCUACAAACGCAUCUAAGGUUAGAGUUGAAAAGCAAAGCAUUUAACAGAAAAAGCAUAGACAUCAACUGUCACCAAACAAAAUAAUUGUGUUGAUCUUAUGUUUUCCAUCGAGGAAACCGUAUCAAAAUUUUGUAUAGCCUGCUGGUUAUCUGGCAGAGAAAUGAAAAAUGCUGUUGGAGCUAGUAGAAGAGAACGUGAAAGGAUGAUAAAAUGUUGGUAUGAUGCUAUGUACAUAUGGAAAGUAUUUAGUGGUGGA